rnacentral:rRNA from 1 species
UACGGGGGGGGCAAGCGUUGUUCGGAAUUACUGGGCGUAAAGGCUCGUAGGCGGCCAACUAAGUCGGAUGUGAAUCCCCAGGCUUAACCUGGGAACUGCAUCCGAUACUGGAUGGCUUGAAUCCGGAGAGGGAUGCAGAAUUCCAGGUGUAGCGGUGAAAUGCGUAGAUAUCUGGAGGAAUACCGGUGGCGAAGGCGGCAUCCUGGACCGGCAUUGACGCUGAGUGAGCGAAAGCCAGGGGAGCAAACGGG